UGUUGCCGCGUGCUGAGGACCUACUAUAAAAAAAGACUUUGUUUGUGUAAAUAUUUUCCAAUUAAAAAAAUUGAAAAAUUCACUUGUUUCUAUUUUAACAUUUUGGGCUGUUCCACCACGCACCCAGGAGGCCGCCAUUCUGCGUAAAUCGUUAUGUUUUUUUACAGGACCUUCGCAUCUGCUUCAGGUACAACAGCGUUUUAACAAAGUAUACUAAAAGAGAGUAUGACGGCUGAACUCGUCCAUUGUCUUCGUCACGCUUGAAUGUAACUCUCACUCCACACGGUUGCUGGGCAACUCAAUAUACGUUUGUUCGUGCAAGUUCAUGAAUUUCAGUUUUAUGUAAGACUUGUCGUAUUUUUAUUAACUUUAUUAUGGAUUCUAUGCGCCCUAGUUUUGAUUGGAGUAUACUGCCAGCUAUCAUCAUUAUGAACUUUCGUUUGUUGAUUUUGGGGAAUCGAAUAAUUGUCAACAUACCUCAUCAGCGGUAGAAUCUCGAGUCUUGACACCCGUAUUAGUUGCUAAGGAAGUUAAAAAACUUAAAAACGACCUAGUUUUAACCGGAAGGGGAAAUGAACAUGUUAGCAAAUGGAUAGAACGGUUCAGCAGCAAUAAAAAAUCUGCCGAAUUGCUAAUGCAGUACCCCCAAGUUUGCAUGGAAGCGCACCUUUUUUUUGAAAAUGAAUUAGAGAAUAGUACAGCAGCAAAACAUUUAUUAACAGUUAUAAGAAUUAUCACCAAGCCAUAUAGUGUAAAGAAAGUUGAAGGAAAUUUAAGAAAGUUGUUAUUUGUGAAGCACAUCUGCUUAUAGUUAGGACUUUUUUGGGUUAAUGUCAAUUUGAAAUAAUUCGCAAAAAUUUUAAUUUGACCUACUUAAUUUUUUAUGUUUCUAUUUUAAAACAGCCGGUACAUUCCAUGACCACACUGCGUGGCGAAAAGUUUACUAAAUGCAACAAAAAUUGCAAAACAUUCAACCAGGAGUUUAAGUUUCAAGUGAAGCAAGGAGAUGCUGCUGAACAAAGUGAUCUGAACAGAUGUCGAUUGGUCCAAAAGCUUGU